CAGAUGCUCAAUUAUGGACAGGAAAAGAGCUUGAACCAUGAGAAGAUGACCUUCUGAUAAGGCAUAUUUUUCAAGUUCCCAUGGGUUUUGCUGUAACCACAACUGGCAUACUUGACACUGGGUCCCAUCUUUGAAAGCCUUUGUGCACCCAGAGACUGAUAGUUCAAAGAUGCCCUGAACAGUUUUGCCCCAGAUGAACAAUGAUAAUUAACACGAGAAUCUCGGCAGGUCCAUUGUUUACCAGCAGCAGAUCUCAGUAGUCUUGUG